rnacentral:rRNA from 1 species
CCAGACUCCUACGGGAGGCAGCAGUGGGGAAUAUUGGGCAAUGGGCGCAAGCCUGACCCAGCAACGCCGCGUGAAGGAAGAAGGCUUUCGGGUUGUAAACUUCUUUUCUGAGGGACGAUAGUGACGGUACCUCAGGAAUAAGCCACGGCUAACUACGUGCCAGCAGCCGCGGUAAUACGUAGGGGGCAAGCGUUAUCCGGAUUUACUGGGUGUAAAGGGAGCGUAGACGGCAGCGCAAGUCUGGAGUGAAAUGCCGGGGCCCAACCCCGGAACUGCUCUGGAAACUGUGAAGCUGGAGUGCAGGAGAGGUAAGCGGAAUUCCUGGUGUAGCGGUGAAAUGCGUAGAUAUCAGGAGGAACAUCGGUGGCGUAAGCGCUUUACUGGGCCGUAAUUGACGCUGAGGAACGAAAGCCAGGGUAGCAAAUGGGAUUAGAUACCCCCGUAC